UACGUAGGAGGCAAGCGUUGUCCGGAUUUAUUGGGCGUAAAGAGCGUGUAGGCGGUUCGGUAGGUCCGUUGUGAAAACUCGAGGCUCAACCUCGAGACGCCGAUGGAAACCAUCGAACUAGAGUCCGGAAGAGGAGAGUGGAAUUCCUGGUGUAGCGGUGAAAUGCGCAGAUAUCAGGAAGAACACCCGUGGCUAAGGCGGCUCUCUAGUACGGUACUGACGCUGAGACGCGAAAGCGUGGGGAGCGAACAGG
rnacentral:rRNA from 1 species